GACGUAGGGCGCGAGCGUUGUCCGGAUUUAUUGGGCGUAAAGAGCUCGUAGGCGGCUUGUCGCGUCGGCUGUGAAAUCCCGUGGCUCAACUGUGGGCGGGCAGCUGAUACGGGCAGGCUGGAGUUCGGUAGGGGAGACUGGAAUUCUUGGUGUAGCGGUGAAAUGCGUAGAUAUCAAGAGGAACACCUGAGGUGAAGACGGGUUGCUGGGCCAACACUGACGCUGAUGCGCGAAAGCCAGGGGAGCAAACGGG
rnacentral:rRNA from 1 species